rnacentral:rRNA from 1 species
UACGGGGGGGGCAAGCGUUGUCCGGAAUUAUUGGGCGUAAAGAGCUCGUAGGCGGCUUGUUGCGUCGACCGUGAAAACCCGCGGCUCAACUGCGGGCUUGCGGUUGAUACGGGCAGGCUGGAGUUCGGUAGGGGAGACUGGAACUCCUGGUGUAGCGGUGAAAUGCGCAGAUAUCAGGAGGAACACCGGUGGCGAAGGCGGGUCUCUGGGCCGAUACUGACGCUGAGGAGCGAAGGCGUGGGGAGCGAACAGG